rnacentral:lncRNA from 1 species
UUUUUUUUUGGCAAUGAUUCUCACUUAUAUAGUCAACCUAGAAAUAGCAUUUUUUCUUCCCAUGAUUCACAAAGUGAGAUUGGAUUUCUUUGAUAGAUCCUUGCUUCAGGUUUUAGAAGAUGUCAGCAGAUGACAGAGGACACAGAAGUGGUUAUUUUCUUGAUAUUCAUGUUGGAUUUUAAUAUAAGUCAAGUGAAAUGUAUAGGCUGAUUCACCUUCUGCUCCAAUUUGGAAACCCUGUAGAAGUUCCUGUUCCUUUUGUAGGAUGGAUUCUGGCAGUAGCCUGACUCUCACCUUGCAUUCUGUAUACCACACAUAUUACACAUAGGGCCUCCAUUCCUUUACAUGCAACAUUUUUUUUUCUUUCUUUCAAGAUAGCAUUUGUUGCUUUUAAGUGUUUUGGUUAUUACAAUACUUUAAUUGUGAACUUUUAAAUAAAAUACUAUUAAGUGAA